UAUGGGUAUCUACUGAGAUCAAUCUCGAACUGAUCUCCUCAUAGUAGAAUUUUUUUACAAGAAGAAUUUUAGCCUUGAGAUCUUAGAUCGACACCUUGAUUUGGACUGCAGGAUCAACUCCUUGAUCUGCAGCCUUCUUCUUCUUCUCCUCGUUCUUCGCUCUUGAAGACAAAUCACCACUAUCUCUUGGCAUGUGAAAAGGGGGAUGCCCAACCCUUGGGCAUGGAAGAAAGCAAAGG
rnacentral:lncRNA from 1 species